GACGAACGCUGGCGGCGUGCCUAAUACAUGCAAGUAGAACGCACAGUUUAUACCGUAGCUUGCUACACCAUAGACUGUGAGUUGCGAACGGGUGAGUAACGCGUAGGUAACCUGCCUGGUAGCGGGGGAUAACUAUUGGAAACGAUAGCUAAUACCGCAUAAUAUUAAUUAUUUCAUGAUAAUUAAUUGAAAGGUGCAAUUGCACCACUACCAGAUGGGCCUGCGUUGUAUUAGCUAGUAGGUGAGGUAACGGCUCACCUAGGCGACGAUACAUAGCCGACCGGAGAGAGUGAUCGGCCACACUGGGAGUGGGACCCGGCCCAGAAUCCUACGGGAGGCAGCAGUAGGGAAUCGUAGGCAAUGGACGAAAGUCUGGCCGAGAUACGACGCGUGAGUGAAGAAAGUUUUCGGAUCGUAAAGAUCUGUUGUAAGAGAAGAACGGGUGUGAGAGUGGAAAGUUCACACUGUGACGGUAGCUUACCAGAAAGGGACGGCUAACUACGUG
rnacentral:rRNA from 1 species